rnacentral:lncRNA from 1 species
AUAAUCUGGAUAGCCACUCCUCCUUAAGGCAAUAUAGAUUGCCUUCUGCGAGGCAAUCCAGAUUACCACUCAAAAAAUAUAUCAAAUAUAAUAAUUUGAUAGGUUAAGUUUAAAUUACCGAUAAUCUAGAUAGAUUGUCAACUAUUAGAUGCAACCUAAAAUCAUUUAGUGCUGUACACGGUGAUUCAGUUGUUAAUUUGGUUAAAAAAAUGUCAAUAUAAUACGGGGGCA